rnacentral:lncRNA from 12 species
GGGCCUCUGGGUCGAGUUCCCUUCUCGGUUAUGCCAACAAGGCUAUUAUACUCUGUACUCUCAAUGAGAGCGGUACUCUCUGGGCCUGAUUUUGCCCCCAGAAAAAUGAGGAUCGCCAAGAAGCCACCAGACCGCUUUGCCUGGCACUCCUUUUAUCUUUCUGGCCUGAGGGGGCCAUGGGCUAAUGAUCAGUGAAAUCAGGAAAGGCCAAGAGGCCCAGCUAAUCCACAAAUUGGAUCAUCCACCCCUGAAUAAUCAAGAGUUGCUGGCACAAAAGUUGGUUUCUCUCUUUGAUCAUCAGCACACUCAAAACACACCUACAUUUGCUUCUUGUGGGAGCCCUCUGGAGAAAACCUUCUUGACAGUUGCAAGUGCUCGGCGGGAGUGUCGGGAGCGCGGCGGUGCAGGCGCAGCGAUUAGGCCGGGCGCCUCGCCGGCUGACAGUCUGUCACUCCCGGGGGUUAAUCCGGCCCCCGCGGCUCCUCAGGGAGAAGCCGCCAGGACAGACGGACAGACGGACAGAUGCAGGCAGAAAGAAGCCUCACCCUCGCUCGCUCGCUCCCCAGCCAGCUGCAAAGAAGCGGUCCUGCCACGGAGGGGAGGGAGCCCCUUUCCCUGGGGGGGGGGGGGGGCUGAAAAAAUCCAAAAAAUCUGCUCACGUCCCAGUAGAGAAAGUGCCGCCUUGCGCCCCUCGGGUUUCAGCACUCCAGACGUCCGCCACAAUCCUGUUACACACUGGGAAUAAG